AACAGGAUAGGCAUUCGAAUAAGUGACCUUAACUGCAUAUUCACACAGAAUAGGAGUAAAGUGAAAUUUUCACAGAUUUUAAGUCUAUAACAUCCUAAUUACAUAUAGCCUUAGUGUAUCCACUUAGCAACUAUCAACUUAGUAAUGAAGAUCUCGUUUUAGUUCUUAAGUAUAAAGUACUUAUAGUAACACCAAAUACCCCUAUAGUAUUUUAAGUUUAAUGUUAUGUUCUACUGUAAUCAUUAUGGUAUUGUUGGUAAGAUUUUAGACUUGUUCCAACCACACAACCACAUUUAGGGACAUGCUAGUCAACCCUCGGAUAAUAUAGUUGAUCAGGCUAUAUCUUCCCAGUUUUGAGCAUAUGUCUCUAAGUCCACCUGUGUUGCUCAACAAUCGUAAUUCUUUUGUACUGUCCUAGCGACACUGAUUUUAGUAUGAAUGCACGCACGUAUACUUACUUAAAUAUUUUAUUAUUUUAAGUAUAAACUCUUGGUAAGAGUAUUUUAAUCCAAAUGUAUUUAUAUUUAGUAUAUCUUUUAUGGGUUGAUUUACUUAAUUCACUAUAAACAAUGCUCUGAUACCAAUCUGUCACACCCCAAAACCAAGAUAGGCGGAAACGUUCUGGGGCGGAGGACGACAUGUACAGCAUCACAACAAUGAAAAGUAGUAAACAAGCAACAACAUCAUCCAUUGCAUUAAUGAUAUAAUUUUAAUACAUGUGUUCUGACAAAUUGUGAUAAACACAAAAGUAUAAUCAAAAUGAAAGAUGCGUCUUGAACGAGCUCCAUCUUCUCUAAACCUUGCAUCGGUACCUGUCACAUCCCAAAACCGGAACGGCGGAAACGUUCUGGGGUGGAUGACGUCAUGUCAAGUAUCAAAACAUAUGCAGUAUAGUAAUCAAAGUACAACAAUCAUUGCAUUAAUAGUACUAGUUUUACAUGGUUUACAUUUCAUAGAGACAUUACAGUAAUACAAGUAAUAAUAUAGGUGCAGCUCGGUACUAAACAGUCUUCACCAAAAGCUCAUGGGAUGUACCUGCAUAUUGCUGACCUGAGAAUACAAGUUAUUUGAAAGCAAGUAUCAACAUUUUUAUAAAUGUUGGUGAGUUCGUAAGUAUUUAGUGUCAUUUUAUCCAAAUAACUUUAUACAAGUAGUAGUUUAGAAUCAACGGUGUAUUAGUGCCAUUUCCAGAAAAUCCUAUAUUUUCUCAAUUAAAAGCAGUCUCCUACCAAGACCCGACAAUUUUAUGUUUUAAAGAGAAUUUCCCUAAAAUAUUAUCAU
rnacentral:lncRNA from 1 species